GAUGAACGCUGACAGAAUGCUUAACACAUGCAAGUCUACUUGAACUUCGGUUUGGGUGGCGGACGGGUGAGUAACGCGUAAAGAACUUGCCUCACAGUUAGGGACAACAUUUGGAAACGAAUGCUAAUACCUGAUAUUAUGAUUUUAGGGCAUCCUAAGAUUAUGAAAGCUAUAUGUGCUGUGAGAGAGCUUUGCGUCCCAUUAGCUAGUUGGAGAGGUAACGGCUCACCAAGGCGAUGAUGGGUAGCCGGCCUGAGAGGGUGAACGGCCACAAGGGGACUGAGACACGGCCCUUACUCCUACGGGAGGCAGCAGUGGGGAAUAUUGGACAAUGGAACCAAAAGUCUGAUCCAGCAAUUCUGUGUGCACGAUGUACG
rnacentral:rRNA from 1 species